UACGGAGGGAGCUAGCGUUGUUCGGAAUUACUGGGCGUAAAGCGCGCGUAGGCGGCUUUGUAAGUUAGAGGUGAAAGCCCGGGGCUCAACUCCGGAACUGCCUUUAAGACUGCAUCGCUAGAAUCCGGGAGAGGUGAGUGGAAUUCCGAGUGUAGAGGUGAAAUUCGUAGAUAUUCGGAAGAACACCAGUGACGAAGGCGGCUCACUGGACCGGCAUUGACGCUGAGGUGCGAAAGCGUGGGGAGCAAACAGG
rnacentral:rRNA from 1 species